rnacentral:rRNA from 1 species
AGCAGUCGCCGCGGGAAUACGUAGGUCCCGAGCGUUGUCCGGAUUUAUUGGGCGUAAAGCGAGCGCAGGCGGUUAGAUAAGUCUGAAGUUAAAGACUGUGGCUUAACCAUAGUAUGCUUUGGAAACUGUUUAACUUGAGUGCAGAAGGGGAGAGUGGAAUUCCAUGUGUAGCGGUGAAAUGCGUAGAUAUAUGGAGGAACACCGGUGGCGAAAGCGGCUCUCUGGCUUGUAACUGACGCUGAGGCUCGAAAGCGUGGGGCGCAAACAGGAUUAGAUACCCCAGUAGUCCCUGUCUCUUAUACA